AACGUGCCCUUCGGUGGGGGAUAACCAUGGGAAACUGUGGCUAAUACCGCACUCGCUUCACAGUGCCAAGUGCUGUGAAGGAAAGAUUGCCUCUGCAUAUGCAAUCGCCGAAGGAGCGGCCCGCGUCCCAUUAGCUAGUUGGUGGGGUAAUGGCCUACCAAGGCAACGAUGGGUAGCCGGCCUGAGAGGGUGAUCGGCCACACUGGGACUGAGACACGGCCCAG
rnacentral:rRNA from 1 species